AUAAGAACAGUGAAGAGGAGCAGUAAGAAGCAGAUUUCGCAUACAGAGAAUUGGCGGCUGGUGAAAGUCAAUCAAGUCUGUUUCUGAACUCACCUCAGAGUUGCAGCGGUGAAAACCGCUGACGCAUAACUGCGUUAAAAGUAUCAAGUGAGUGCGGCCGAAAACUGCACUAACGAGGGUGGUACCGCGGGAAACAAAAAAUCUCUCGUCCCUUUU
rnacentral:ncRNA from 1 species